AGUAGAUUGAACUCACACUUUUCAAUUUCUCAUAUUUUUAUUUUUUUUUAUGGUAGCGUGCAUCUCACAGUGAUUCGUGCUAGAUAUAAUGUUGAUGUAUCUGUACGAUUUUUCAAAAACAUUGAUGUGAUUGUAGCAGGGGAUGUAAAAAUUCAUAAAGUUAGAAAUAUUGCGAUUGCUAGAAAAAGAUGUAUCAGUGAUCCAAUUAAUGAAGAAUAUAAAUUCACUGCUUAUCGUGAUAGAAAGGAAAUGUCAUUACGAGAAAUGUUAAUAUUAAAAUCACCAAUGAUCAAGGCGAAGACAAUCGAACUCGUUGAGGAUAAGAACAAUAUCUCAGUAGAGAAACUUGUUUCUCCGCUGCUUUUAGAGAUUUUAAAUAAUUUGCAUUUGAUGGAAGCUGAUAUUAAUAUAUUCGAAUCGCCAAGCAAAUUCGAUUAUAGAUAUUUCUGAAGAUGUCACUAUUUUAGAAUCAAGUAUGAUGAAAAUAGGUGAAAGUAUCAUUGACUCUUGGAUAUGGAUUGUUGACAAACGGAGAAAGGGACAGCUUAAAACAACAUCUAAAAUUUACAACAAACAGUGGUUUUGUUUUAGCUUGUGAAAAAAAAAACAAAUACAUAACUGGACAUCGAUUUUACAGGAAUUUCAAUUACGUACAGUUUUAGAGAAAUGUACUUCCGGGGAAUCUUGGAUAUUGUUAAAAAAUACUAUUAAAAUUCAGGAAAAACAUGAUUGUUAACGUUAAGAGCAAUGAAUUUAAGUGGUUGCAACAAGUACAAACUAUACUUAUCAGGAAUGAAAAAUAGAAUAUCAAUAAUACGAAUGGCAUACUUGUUGAAGAAGGGAACUUCUAAUCUGGUCUUCAUUCUGGAAUUCAUUAAUUGUUUACAAAAUGAACCCGACUGAGACGUUUUCUGAGUUGAUUUACUUCAAGAUCUUAAAGUUUUCUUUGACAUUAACACUUUAUUCCUAUAUUUAUAUCAGCUACUUCCACCUCGCGAGUCCAAACUUACUUAUCACGCCAUUAUUAGUCAAUUGAGAUUUAAGUACGAUACGCUGAGUUGAAAGGACAAUUACAAAGGAUUAUUAAAAUGAAGAUCUUGUUAUUUUUCAUUAUACAUCAUUGAAUUUUAAAGAUGUGAUGUUGUUAAUGAGUAAAAUAGCACCAGACGUAAAAACACAAGACAAAAAAGACUUAGAUAACCUAUUUGGAUUUGAAUACAGCGGAAUCACCAUUAAUAGUCGUCGUAUUGUGGGAGUUAACCGCAAUAGAUGUUUAUCAAAUUUUUGUCAGUUGGACGAAACUUUUUCUUGGACUGUACCUGAAAGUUGGAGUUUAGAGGAUGCAGCAACUUUAUUGUAUGUCUAUUGCACAUGUAUCUUUGCACUUUACAUUAAUGUAGAAAUGAAAAAGGGUGACAAAAUACUUAUUCAUACUGGUUCUGAUGAUAUUGGCCAAACCGCAAUUAACUUAGUCCUUUGGGCUGUGAAAUAUUUACUACAGUUGUUACACCAGAAAAAUUUUCUUUAAAUUUAUUAAAGAAACAUUUACUAGUAUCGAUGAUAAUCACAUUGGAAAUUUUCGAGAUACUAACUUCGAGAAAAUGGUUUUGCAACAAACUCAUGAUGCAGGUGUAAACAUUGUUCUAAAUUCUUUAGCAGAAGAUAAACUUCAAGCGAGUCUGCGUUGUUUAGCCCAUAGAGGUAAAUUUUUAAAAAUUGAUAAGUUUGACUUAGCAGUAAGUAUGAAUUAAGCACCAGAAUCUUUAUGGAGGGCUGUGUUUUUAUGAUGCAAUGUUAAAUAAGAUUAUAAACACAAAUGACGAAGUCAAAAACGAAAUUAGUUCAAUAUUCAACAAACUUAUUAAGGAGAAUGCUAUCAAGCCGAUAAUUAGGAUAGUCUUCGACAAAUAUCAAUUAAAGACAGCACAGAUUCAUGGCAGUUGAAAAGCAUAUUGGAAAAGUAAUUUAAUGUUCGUUGUUGAAAUAUUUUUUUGUUUUAACAAAUUAAAUUAUAAUUUGAAAUCCGUAUUAUAUGUCAUAAGUACUGAUAAAGAUCCGUGAAAAGAAUGAA